GCUGAAAAUCUUUGAUGCCCAGUAAUGCAAAUAAUACGUUCUUUGUUGAACACGCAGCCGUGUAUCGGCCUUAAAAUGAUAUUCGUUCCGACGUUAAAGUUUUCUUUGUAGAAAAUUUCAGAUUUACGUGUAGGCUGCUCUUCUUAAAAUUUCCCUUCAGCGUUUAACAGAUUGGAAGGAGAUUCAUUGAAAAGCUGAAAAUGUCAUCAAAGUCAUUUUACUCAAGAGUAUCAAUUUUAAAAUUGACUUUUGCGACCUUCAAAAACCUGACAAAGGAUGCGAGAUGGACAAGCGAUUGAAGGCAUAGAUGCACGCUAUCGCAAUUAAUUUAAAUAAUUUUUUCGUGUAUAUAUGAAAUUUCAGACUUGAGUGUUCCGAAGGAAAGAUAAAUUCGUUGUAGCGUUUAUACUUAGUGCUGUUAUGCAUGUGCUUGAAAACCUAGUACCGGAUGCCCGCCACCGAUACUCGCAAAGGAUUCUAAUGCUUAGGCAGUCGAAUAAGGCAGCGGUGCCUACAAAGCAAGAAGUCGUACGUUAGUAGCUAAGUUCACGUAAUCGGUGAUUGACGUCCACUUUUAUAAGCGACAGUCUGGUGCCAAGAUCAAAUCAAGAUGGACAUGCACAGGUAGGAGGGAGCAAAAGUCCUAGGCAUAUACCAGCCCUCAGUGGAACACUGUUGCUUUCGGCAAAGAAAUGUUUAAGAUAAUGAUGUUCUCCAGCGAUAUAGAGGAGAGCACAACAGGAAAGUUUGAUAAUGACACAGGUAUUGAGUUCAAUAACAUAACAACUGGCAUCCCGCAACUAUCAACUCUCGGUCCCAUAUUAGACAACAGCAGGUGCAAUGACGUCCUCAAAUCCCCAAUUGGCGGCGAUACCACUGUAAAGGCGUCAAUCAAGUAAAGGCGAUUGCAAACGAUACAGUGGCGCAUGUGAAAGCAUGACUAGUCGUAGUAGGAACGUAGUACCAACGAAAAAUUGGUCUCAAAUUCUGUAUUUUCAAAUAAACUUUCUGGCCAAAGCCGAUGGAGAUGCUGUUUUAUUUAAAUCUUACUCCCAUAAGUAGAGGA